rnacentral:rRNA from 1 species
AGUGAACGCUGGCGGUAGGCCUAACACAUGCAAGUCGAACGGCAGCACAGUAAGAGCUUGCUCUUACGGGUGGCGAGUGGCGGAUGGGUGAGGAAUACUUUGGAAUCUACUUUUUCGUGGGGGAUAACGUAGGGAAAUUUACGCUAAUACCGCACAUGACUUACGGGUGAAAGCAGGGGAUUUUCGGAUUUUGCGCGAUUGCAUGAGCCGAUGUCGGAUUAGCUAGUUGGCGGGGUAAAGGCCCACCAAGGCGACGAUCCGUAGCUGGUCUGAGAGGAUGAUCAGCCACACUGGAACUGAGACACGGUCCAGACUCCUACGGGAGGCAGCAGUGGGGAAUAUUGGACAAUGGGCGCAAGCCUGAUCCAGCCAUACCGCGUGGGUGAAGAAGGCCUUCGGGUUGUAAAGCCCUUUUGUUGGGAAAGAAAAGCAGCAGGUUAAUACCCCGCUGUUCUGACGGUACCCAAAGAAUAAGCACCGGCUAACUUCGUG